rnacentral:rRNA from 1 species
GACGAACCGUGCGAACGUUAUUCGGAUUCACUGGGCUUAAAGGGCGCGUAGACGGACGACCGCGUCGAUGGCUGAAAGCCCCCGGCUCAACCGGGGAAUGGGCCUCGAUACGGGUCGUCUCGAGUGGAGGAGGGGGACCUGGAACCUCCGGUGGAGCGGUGAAAUGCGUUGAGAUCGGAAGGAACGCCUGCGGCGAAAGCGAGGUCCUGGACUCUGACUGACGUUGAGGCGCGAAAGCCAGGGGAGCGAACGGG